ACUCCUACGGGAGGCAGCAGUCGAGAAUUUUGGCCAAUGGGCGAAAGUCUGACGCAGGCACGCCGCCCUGGAGGAUGAAGGCCUUGCCGGGUUGUAAAGCGCGGUCGAAUGGGACGAAACCAGGCUGGCGAGAAGUCGCUCCGGGGUGACGGUACCUACUGAAGAACGCUCGGCUAACUCCGUGCCAGCAGCCGCGGUAAU
rnacentral:rRNA from 1 species